AGAACUGCAAUUUCGAAGUAAGGAAUGAUAAGGUAACGCUUUGAAACUUACUCUUUAAUACUCCGACUAGCAUCAUAAAUGGAAACAUUAGGUGUUAGAAGCUCGGUGAAGUCGGCAGAAGCAGACCUAAGUCUAAGAAAUAAUCAAGUAAGGUUGGUACAAAAGUGGCUAGAGCCCACCUGCCAUGAAAGAUUAAAGUAUGAGAUAUGGUUUGUGAUAUGUCGGAAGUCUAUAAA
rnacentral:ncRNA from 1 species